rnacentral:rRNA from 1 species
AUUGAACGCUGGCGGCAUGCCUUACACAUGCAAGUCGAACGGCAGCGCGGGCUUCGGCCUGGCGGCGAGUGGCGAACGGGUGAGUAAUGCAUCGGAACGUGCCCAGUCGUGGGGGAUAGCACGGCGAAAGCCGGAUUAAUACCGCAUCCGACAUGAGGGUGAAAGCGGGGGACCGAAAUUCAACGCGCCAUUUGCACCGCCGAUGUCGGAUUAGCGAGUUGGUGGGGUAAAGGCUUACCAAGGCGACGAUCCGUAGCUGGUCUGAGAGGCCGACCGGCCAAACGGGAAGUGAGACAGGGCCCAGACUCCUACGGGAGGAAGCAGUGGGGAAUUUUGGACAAGGAGGGAAACCCGGAUGCAGCCAGGCCGGGGGCGGGAAGAAGGCCUGCGGGUGGAAAACCGCUUUUGUUCGGGAAGAAAUCCUCGGGGGUAAUACCCCGAGGGGAUGACGGUACCGGAAGAAUAAGAAACGGCUAACUACGUG